rnacentral:lncRNA from 10 species
AGAGGGGCGCAUGCCUUCCUGGGGUGAGGACGCUGCCAGGCUCCCAGCUCUGGAGUCACCGCCCCGUGCUAGGGGCAAGAGGGGAAGGAGACAGAAAUGGAUUCAUUUAGAUGACAUAAAUGGAGCACUUACGUGUCACCUGCUGUGAAUGGCACUGGCACUAUUAUGGUGAGCAAGACAGGCAGUCCCUAUACUACUAGACUGUAUUCAUUAAAUGAUCACACAAUUAACAUUGAAUUAUAAUUUUGAUAAGAGGUAAGAAGGUCAAAGACAGAUGCUUAGAGAAUAUUUCACAGAUAAACUGGAACCCAGGCUUCCAGGAGGAAAAGGCAUUAUAAAG